GAUGAACGCUGGCGGCGUGCCUAAUACAUGCAAGUCGAGCGAACGGACGAGAAGCUUGCUUCUCUGAUGUUAGCGGCGGACGGGUGAGUAACACGUGGAUAACCUACCUAUAAGACUGGGAUAACUUCGGGAAACCGGAGCUAAUACCGGAUAAUAUUUUGAACCGCAUGGUUCAAAAGUGAAAGACGGUCUUGCUGUCACUUAUAGAUGGAUCCGCGCUGCAUUAGCUAGUUGGUAAGGUAACGGCUUACCAAGGCAACGAUGCAUAGCCGACCUGAGAGAGGGAUCGGCCACACUGGAGCUGAGACACGGACCAGAGUCCUACGGGACGCAGCAGAAGGGAAUGUUCGGCAGUGGGCGAAAGCCUGACGGAGCGACGGCGCGUGAGUGACGGCGGUCUUCGGUUCGUAAAGCUCUGUUACUGGGGAAGAACCUAUGUGUACGUAACUGUGCACAUCUUGACGGUAACUAAUCAGAAAGCAACGGCUAACUACGUG
rnacentral:rRNA from 1 species